rnacentral:lncRNA from 1 species
CUGUGGAAGGCAAGCAUACGGAACUCCGUCUGGUAUUUCUUCCUGGAAACAAACCUACUCUCAGAAAACCCAUUGAAGUCCCUGUUUUACAACUAACAUAAUGGGCGUGUGGAAAUGCCUCUCCAUCCACCAGGGGGCAGAAACGAACCCUUUGAUUGGCCAGAGAUCUUUGGACUUCAACUUUGAUUUGGAAUAGUUGUAAUUUGCAUAGCCUUUUCACUCUCAGACAUCACUCUUUCUGUCACUAGGAACAUAACCAUAUAGACUUUUCAAAGAAACCUCUUAAUUCUGUGUGAAACUCUAAACUUCACUCUACCAAUAAACUUCCCCACAUUCACACUAGAGAGAUGUGAUGGGAAUGCUGGGUCUUACAUAUGGUGGUCUUCAUAUUUUCGUGGAUUUGUCUUUUGAGGCAUGGAGUGCCUGACCUUUGCGUAUGCAAGAUUCGCUAGCAUGUAAACUCUGUCACUGUCUCCCAAGAACACAGAAACAG